ACAACCCUGUCUUCGCAGGUGCCAGACUCUACCAACUCAACCCACAACCCUGCCUUCGCAGGUGCCAGACUCUACCUAUUGAACCAGAUCCGACCAUCAAUUGCACCACCACCAGUUGCAAUUAGUUCUGCCCACUUACACUUCUUGAGGAUACACUGCAGUAUAUUUUUGUCAUAAACAGCUGAGUUCUCCACGCUGUAUAGCGCCAUACUUUGCAACAAAGCCCAAAGGACACUGAUAAGAACUGCACUGAGGGAGUAUGGCAUUUGGGACGGAGGUAGUGUGAUAGCGGUUCACUGACCAUGAGGGAACAUUCCGGUACUCUGUGUACCCAACAUCAAGAGACUUCUAAAGCCUCUUUGCUCAGCACUAAGCCACUGACAUUAUGUAAUGUGUGAAGUGCGGGAUGCUCUUGUCUGAAGCCCUUAGGGCGACUGAGUGAGUCGGUGACUGUGUGAAUCGGUGACUGGGUGAGUCGGUGACUGGGUGAGUUGGUGACUGGGUGAGUCAGUGACUGGAACACUCCCCCAUGGAUCCUCCUAUCCCUACCCAGGGAUACUCGGACGCUGUGGCAGGAUCACCAUGGAAACUGCUGGUCCCUCUAUCUCUGUCAUGAGCACCGUGUUUCCGCUUCUGGAACACUCUAACAGGAGAUUUACUCCCCACAUCUCUUCCUCCACUCGAACAUUCUAGACUGGGAAACACCUGUUUGAUCUGGAGAACUUGUCUAUAUGACUUUUUACAUGUUAUAUUUGGAGACUUUGUGUAUUUAUAACAUAUAUACUCACGUGCUUUCUGAAUUAACACAUUAAGAGCUGCUUUAUUUAUUACACUUAAUAUAUUGUUCCUCAAUGGGUCAUAUGACAGAGAUUUGUUGUAAAAUUAUCCUACAGCUAUAGAGACUGCUAUUUGGGUAUAUCUCAUGUCUUUUAUGGUGAAAUAUUGAAUCGUGAGAUGUCCUGGAAAGCAAUGUACAAUACUGUAUGACUCUCAGGACAGGAACUAUAGUCUCAGCAAGGCUUGUCGGAACCUAGAAAAUACAGCGCAGAGCCGAUCCGAAAACCACAGUGAUGCUGUUUGAUAGCUUGGCAAACUUAUCGCUCCAUCACUCUUUUCCGGCCAAAGCAAACGGAGGACGCGUUACCUGUGAAACGUCACACUCAUAUUCUGGGAAACGAGGUGAAGAGGAUGAUGACGUGGUCGUUUACCGGAUGCAUGUGCAGAUCACGAUGCUUGGCUGACCCUCAGCGCUCAGUGACUCACCCCUUCUACCGAUUUCCACCGCGCGUUCUACCGCCUCGCCUUAGCCGGUGUCACUGUGCGUACGGGAAUUGUGACACCGCAGUUACCAUGGCACCGCCCCCUCUCCUCCCUCCUCUGGCUUAAUUUCACCUCCCCUGCUUGUUUGUAUUGUCUGUCCCACUGUCUGCCUUUUUUGCCUUUCUGCGUCAUAACUCCUUGAAAUAAAUUACGCCUUUGAAGCAGA